rnacentral:rRNA from 1 species
AGCAGCCGCGGUAAUUCCAGCUCCAAUAGCGUAUAUUAAAGUUGUUGCAGUUAAAAAGCUCGUAGUUGAAUUUCGGGGUUAGUAGGUUGGUCAUGCCUCUGGUAUGUACUGGUCUCACUGAUUCCUCCUUCCUGAUGAACCUUAAUGCCAUUAAUUUGGUGUUUUGGGGAAUUUGGACUAUUACUUUGAAAAAAUUAGAGUGUUUAAAGCAAGCUAACGCUUGAAUACAUUAGCAUGGAAUAAUGAAAUAGGACGUUCGAUCCUAUUUUGUUGGUUUCUAGGAUUGACGUAAUGAUUAAUAGGGAUAGUUGGGGGCAUUAGUAUUCAAUUGUCAGAGGUGAAAUUCUUGGAUUUAUUGAAGACUAACUACUGCGAAAGCAUUUGCCAAGGAUGUUUUCAUUAAUCAAGAACGAAAGUUAGGGGAUCGAAGACGAUCAGAUACCGUCGUAGUCUUAACCAUAAACUAUGCCGACUAGGGAUCGGAUGAUGUUAAUUUUUUAAUGACUCA